AAUCCAGACUCCUACGGGAGGCAGCAGUGGGGGAUAUUGCACAAUGGGGGAAACCCUGAUGCAGCGACGCCGCGUGAGUGAAGAAGUAUUUCGGUAUGUAAAGCUCUAUCAGCAGGGACGAAAAUGACGGUACCUGAGUAAGAAGCCCCGGCUAACUACGUGCCAGCAGCCGCGGUCAUACGUAGGGUCCAAGCAUUAUCCGGAGUGACUGGGUGUAAAGAGUUGCGUAGGUGGCAUAAUAAGUAACUAGUGAAAUCUGGUGGCUCAACCAUUCAGACUAUUAGUUAAACUGUUAAGCUCGAGACCGUUAGGGGUAACUGGAAUUUCUAGUGUAGGAGUGAAAUCCGUAGAUAUUAGAAGGAACACCGAUAGCGUAGGCAGGUUACUGGGACGGUUCUGACACUAAGGCACGAAAGCGUAGGGAGCAAACGGGAUUAGAUACCCGUGUA
rnacentral:rRNA from 1 species